rnacentral:rRNA from 1 species
GAUAAACGCUGGCGGCGUGCUUUAUGCAUGCAAGUCGAACGGUCUGCUGUUCCAAGCUUGCUUGGGAUGCCAGAUAGUGGCGAACGGGUGAGUAACGCGUAAGUAACCUGCCCCUAAGUAAGGAAUAACUCUGAGAAAUUAGAGCUAAUACUAUAGUGGCGGUGGAGGUAAUGCUUCACCACUAAAGCCUUCGGGCGCUUAGGGAGGGGCUUGCGUCCGAUUAGCUAGUUGGUAGGGUAAUGGCUUACCAAGGCGAUGAUCGGUAGCUGGUUUGAGAGGACAUUCAGCCACACUGGGAUUGAGAUACGGCCCAGACUCCUACGGGAGGCAGCAGCAAGGAAUUUUGUGCAAUGGGCGAAAGCCUGACACAGCGACGCCGCGUGGGGGAUGAAGGCCUUCGGGUUGUAAACCCCUUUUCUCAGGGAAGAAUAAUGACGGUACCUGAGGAAUAAGUCUUGGCUAACUACGUGCCAGCAGCCGCGGUAAUACGUAGGAGGCGAGCGUUAUCCGGAUUUACUGGGCGUAAAGAGGGCGUAGGCGGUUUUUCAAGUCGAUUGUAAAAUCUCCCGGCUUAACUGGGAGGGGACAUUCGAUACUGUUGGACUAGAGAGCAGCAGGAGGAGGUGGAAUUCCCGGUGGAGUGGUGAAAUGUGUAGAUAUCGGGAGGAACACCAGUGGCGAAAGCGGCCUCCUAGGUUGUUUCUGACGCUGAGGUCCGAAAGCGUGGGUAGCGAACAGGAUCAGAUACCCUGGUAGUCCACGCCGUAAACGAUGGACACCAGGUAUAGGGAGUAUCGACCCUCUCUGUGCCGAAGCUAACGCAUUAAGUGUCCCGCCUGGGGAGACGGCCGCAAGGCU